rnacentral:rRNA from 1 species
CCUCGGCGUCAGGAGUGAACGCUGGCGGCGUGCUAACACAUGCAAGUCGAGCGAAGCAUUUAACGUAUAGAAGUUUUCGGUACGGGAAUGUUAUCUGACUGAGCGGCGGACGGGUGAGUAACGCGUGGGUAACCUGCCUUAUACAGGGGGAUAACAGUCAGAAAUGACUGCUAAUACCGCAUAAGCGCACAGUACCGCAUGGUAGUGUGUGAAAAACUCCGGUGGUAUAAGAUGGACCCGCGUCUGAUUAGCCAGUUGGCGGGGUAACGGCCCACCAAAGCGACGAUCAGUAGCCGACCUGAGAGGGUGACCGGCCACAUUGGGACUGAGACACGGCCCAAACUCCUACGGGAGGCAGCAGUGGGGAAUAUUGCACAAUGGGGGAAACCCUGAUGCAGCAACGCCGCGUGAGUGAAGAAGUAUUUCGGUAUGUAAAGCUCUAUCGGCAGGGAAGAAGAUGACGGUACCUGACCAAGAAGCCCCGGCUAACUACGUG